GACGAACGCUGGCGGCGUGCCUAACACAUGCAAGUCGAACGGAGUUGAAAGGAGCUUGCUUUUUUCAACUCAGUGGCGGACGGGUGAGUAACGCGUGAGUAACCUGCCUUUCAGAGGGGGAUAACGUUCUGAAAAGAACGCUAAUACCGCAUAAGAUUGUAGCUUCGCAUGGAGCAGCAAUCAAAGGAGCAAUCCGCUGAAAGAAGGACUCGCGUCCGAUUAGAUAGUUGGCGGGGUAACGGCCCACCAAGUCGACGAUCGGUAGCCGGACUGAGAGGUUGAUCGGCCACAUUGGGACUGAGACACGGCCCAGACUCCUACGGGAGGCAGCAGUGAGGGAUAUUGGGCAAUGGGGGAAACCCUGACCCAGCAACGCCGCGUGAGGGAUGACGGUUUUCGGAUUGUAAACCUCUGUCCUCUGUGAAGAUAGUGACGGUAGCAGAGGAGGAAGCUCCGGCUAACUACGUGCCAGCAGCCGCGGUAAUACGUAGGGAGCAAGCGUUGUCCGGAUUUACUGGGUGUAAAGGGUGCGUAGGCGGAUUGGCAAGUCAGAAGUGAAAUCCAUGGGCUUAACCCAUGAACUGCUUUUGAAACUGUUAGUCUUGAGUGAAGUAGAGGUAGGCGGAAUUCCCGGUGUAGCGGUGAAAUGCGUAGAGAUCGGGAGGAACACCAGUGGCGAAGGCGGCCUACUGGGCUUUAACUGACGCUGAGGCACGAAAGUGUGGGUAGCAAACAGGAUUAGAUACCCUGGUAGUCCACACUGUAAACGA
rnacentral:rRNA from 1 species